GCCGAAAUGAUGAAAUAGGUAGACAUAAUUGACUUAAAAUCAAUUGAUCAGAAAUGAUCGUCCGGGUUCGACUCCCGGUUUCGGUA
rnacentral:tRNA from 1 species